rnacentral:rRNA from 1 species
CCUACGGGUGGCAGCAGUGAGGAAUAUUGGUCAAUGGGCGCGAGCCUGAACCAGCCAAGUCGCGUGAGGGAAGACGGUCCUAUGGAUUGUAAACCUCUUUUGUCGGGGAGUAAAAGCCGCCACGCGUGGCGUGUCGAGAGUACCCGAAGAAAAAGCAUCGGCUAACUCCGUGCCAGCAGCCGCGGUAAUACGGAGGAUGCGAGCGGUAUCCGGAUUUAUUGGGUUUAAAGGGUGUGCAGGCGGAAGAUCAAGGUAGCGGUAAAAUUGAGAGGCUCAACCUCUUCGAGCCGUUGAAACUGGUUGUCUUGAGUGAAUGAGAAGUAUGCGGAAUGCGUGGUGUAGCGGUGAAAUGCAUAGAUAUCACGCAGAACUCCGAUUGCGAAGGCAGCAUACCGGCGCUCAACUGACGCUCAUGCACGAAAGUGUGGGUAUCGAACAGGAUUAGAUACCCGUGUAGUC